UGGAGGGAGAAUGGACGGCUCUGAAAACACCGUUUCAAUUCCCAAUGAAGAUGAGUUAGGGUUAGGGCUCCGGCCUUCGUCUCCUGCCCAGCCUGAUGUUGAGAAGCUCAACCAGGAAUUCCUGUCUCUAGUGUUGGAGCAACACGAGCCUGUUGUUGAAUCUCUCGCUUUGGAGCAACAUGAGCCUGUUGUUGAAUCUCUCGCUUUGGAGCAACAUGAGCCUGUUGUUGAAUCUCUCGCUUUGGAGGAGAGGGAGGAGGAGAAGGAGGAGGAUGAGGAGAGUGAUUCCAACGGUGAGGUGAAAGCAAGUGAUGAUGAGGAGGAGCAGUGCGAGAAUCUUGAGGACGAAUCGGCGGCCAAGGAUGACAAGAGUGCCAGGUUUCAGUAUCCGGUGAGGCCGGAUGCGGUGGACUGUUCCUUUUAUCUUCGGACUGGGACGUGUAAGUUUGGAUCCAAUUGCAAGUUCAAUCACCCGAUUAGAAGGAAGAACCAGGUAUCUUUUGUAGAUUGACUUUGACUGUUAUUAUGGAUUGUUUCGGUUGAGAUCGGCGCAGUUUCUGUUCAUAUUUUCUGAAUGUGGCGAAUGAUAAAUAUUGGUUUUCUCACUUACGUAUAGAUUGAUCAGUUAGGUGGCAGUUUGUUAAAGGGAUUUUUGACUGGUUGCAGAAGAUGAACAUUUAUGUUUGUUGAAGAUAGUUUUCCAGUUAAGGAGUAGUCUGAUGAUUGAUGAAUUUGAGUUAGAUCAUUUUUCUCUUUUAGUGUAGAUUGAUGAAUUUGAGUUGGAUCAUUUUCUCUUUUAGUUUUGUAGCGCAGGUUUUGUUCAUCUGUUGGCGUCGAUUAGUUUGACAGUUCAAAUUAAAUUAAGGGUAAAAUGAAGCUGUAGAUGUAACACUGAAAGCUAUUCCUUUUAAGGUGCUAGCAUCUUAUAAAGGCUUAUAAAGAAAUUUUGGCUGUUUUAGGAUUUGAAUAUUGAUUUUGUUGGUCUUGAAUAAUUGGAAAUGAUUUAUGUUUACUGAAUUUUGUGUACUGGCUUUUUUGCAUAUCCUUAUUUUGAAGGUUGCUAAGGAGAAGGUGAAGGAAAAGGAAAAGGAAGAAUUUCCAGAAAGGCCAGGGCAAACAGAAUGCAAGGUUAUUACCUUCUUUUGUAGCCUCUUUUUCUUUAUAUAUAAUUUUUGAUGUUUUAUGACAUAAUUUACCUCCAGCUGGUAUUUUAAGCUGCUUUGAAGCAAAUAAACUAGCAUCAAUCCAUAAAGCGGUGUAUCCUAAUUUCAAUGUGUGAAUUUAUUAUUAUUAUUUUUAUUGUGAAAGGCAUGAUAGAUUUUUUCUAUCUGAAACUAUUUCUUGUGCCAUAAUUUCCUUUCUCAUCUGUAUUAACUGAUCAAUGGUGAGAAUUUUACCCCAAGGAGCUGAUUGAGCAAAAUAAUUCCUUGGGAGGGACACAAAAACUCCUAACUAGUGAAGACUAGGGGAAAAAGAACCUCCUAAGCUUCAUCUGUAGUUGUACGUCAUAAAAGGUACCACCAUCUCUAACACAUAGUUACUGAAACUUUUGCAAAACCUUUGGGAAUCCAAUGACCUUGCCCACCCAGAAAGCUCUAACAGUUGGUGAAGGAUUUUGAUCUGCUGCCAAGACAAAGGAUCUUAGAAAUUUAGCAUUAACCCCCUCAUACACCAAGCAUCAUCCGUAAGGCAUAUCAAACAACCUACCUAAAAGAAUCCAUCCCAAACCAUGAACUUAUGCAACCUUACUCUCAUAACAUUCUAUCUUUUUCAUCUGCAAAUCUCUGAAGCCUUACCUAUUAAGUAUUCUUUCCUUCCUACCUUUCCUCUAAAGAAAACUAAUUCCAGUCUUCCCAAUCAACUCUAACUGGGACCAGAAUGAGGGAAGGCAAAAUAAAAUAAAACAGCAAGCUGGAUAAAGUAAUUCUAAUUAGAUUAAGCUCCCUUCCUAGACAGAAAUUGCCUCUUCAAUGUAGCAAGUCUCCCCUCAAAAUGUCCACCAUUGGUCUCAAACAGCUUUAGACUUAAAAGAAGCAUUCAAUGGCAAAGAUGGCAAUUUACCCACUUUAUCCCCAAGCAAUGCUGCCAAAACUGUGAUACUAUCAAAAAAAAAAAAAAAAAAAAAUGCUGCCAAAACUGUGACAAUUUCCAUGUUUCGAUCUCACUCCUUUGCACAUUCACCUUUAAUCUGGAACAGAUUCAACUAGGUGUGACAUUUGUUAUGGAUGAAUACUUAACUAUUAAACUGUAAUACAUGCUUAGAAUCCGGAAGAGAACUUCUUAGACCCUAGUUAUUGAAGGCUUUUACAGCUUUGUAAAGAGUUUAUCCACUGUAUGAGGAAAUAUCCUUUAAGCACAGUCUAUAUAGUUUAACACAAACACAGGCAACAUUAGUAUGUCUUAAUGCUGUUUUGAUGGUUGGAUCAACCUCUUCGCUGACUUAAAAGGGUUAGCAAAGCUCUAAGAAAAAUGUGGCAUGGUAGAUCCUAAUCUAAGCACUCAAGUAUGUUAGAUGGUCCUACAGGCAGACACCUCAUGCAUGGCCAAGUAGAAUCCGUGAUUCUUGAGAUGACUGUACAAGAAAACUAGUUUGCUUACCUAUAUAAAAAAAAGAAAAAAAAAAAGAAAACUGGGUUGCUUACCUAUCAAAAAAACAAAAAGAAAACUGGGUUGCUGGCAAUUGAAUUCCUUUUAUGCUUCCACUUGAGAAACUGUUAUGGAAUAAUUUACAUUUCUAACUGAACUGUUACCUAGGUAUGUUUUGACACCUCUUCUGGCCAUGGCUGCCAAUGAUGUAAAUGACAAUCUGAGGAAUGCUGCUUUUUACUAGCAAGCAUUAUUGUUAGCACAUUUCUUUCUUGUCUGACUUUGUUUGUCUAGUAAAACUGUUCAGCAUAGUUAGCUGUUAUGCACAUAAAAUCAUGGACAGAAUUUUUCUGGUUAUAUUGUGGCUUGUUAAUUGCGAAAAUCUAUUGCCUAAUAUUGUUCCUUAAAAGAAUAAUCCUCAGUCUGAUUUUUAUAUAGAGAAGUAGUAGUGAAAAUUUAAUCUAACUUAAAUUAAUGCUUUUGAGAAAUGGGUAUACCAUUUACCAAGUUUGGCACACUACAAUAUCCAUGGCAUUAGGAGAAACCAUUAGAGCAGAAGAAGUCCAACACCUAGGUUUGAUGUAUUUUAAUGAUGAUACUGUUGAAUUUUUUAUUUUUUUUAUAGGUAAGUAAAAAUCGUAUUAUCAAUGAAAGAAAAAACAGGAAGGUAUAUAUUACAUGAUGUAUUCAAAGAAGCCAAAAGGCCAAAAAACGACGCGAAGGCACAAAAAACAGCAACUGUGCCCUACCUAGAGCCUAAACAAUUCAAAAAGUCCAACAUCGAUAAGGGACGAUUCCCCGAUAAACACUAACCCAGUCCCAAAGAAUUUAUUCGUUUAUCUUUAACACUUGCUUAGGAAUAAUUUGAAAAUCACUGACUAGGACCUACAGUCCAUGGCUUCUAGCAUUGCUUUGAGUCCCUGUUGACAUUUUCUAAUUUGAGUAUGAAAUAAAUUGGGAUGGCUUAGGCAUCCACAUCUGUUUGAAGUCAAAUUUUUUUAUCAUAUAGUUGAAUAUUGCAUCAACUGUUAUCUAGUAAUGUUAUUUACAAAAAAUAGUGUGGGAUAUGAGAGUUUUAAAUGACUAAAUUGCCAUUUUUCUCUUGUGUAUGUUGUUUUUGUUAAGGCUAUCUAUUCCUUUUCUAGAAAGCAACAUUUCUAGAUAUCAGAGGCAUGUUUUUUUUUUCGUGUUGUACUAAACUGUUUAAGUUGGUUCAUCAUGCAUGCUUACUAGUAAUAGUACUUUUGGUGUUACGGUUCCCUUUUUGAGUUUGUUGCAGUAUUACCUGAGGACAGGGGGAUGUAAGUUUGGAAAAGCUUGUAGAUAUAAUCACACGAAGGCUAAACCUUCUGCAGUUCCAGUUCUA
rnacentral:lncRNA from 1 species